GAGGCGGCGUUGCGCAAGCGCAUGGUCGCGAGCGCCGGCGACGUCGGCGAGCAUUCGCCACGCCACCAGAACGAAUGCAGACGGACCCGCGUUCUGCAUGACUUUGCCCAUCAAUGAAUGUGUGAAAGUCGACUGCUUGCGCCGGUUCCAUGACCAGUCUCUUCAUUGUUUCGACGUGUGGUGAGCCCAAAGAUGCGCGCCCGAGCGGGUAAUUCUGCGGUGGGUGCGAGCGUCGCGGGCCGCGGUUUGCAGCCACGCGCUGCGGCCCUUGCCUUUGACGCUUCUGAAUGAGCUUUGUACACAGUCCUGGUAUAAAGUGGCUAAGUUAACUUGUAAUUGCUCUGUUUUCUUAACAAAUAUUUUCUAACUCAAGAUAUUUU